GAUUAUGUCACUCAGACGAGAUGGCUGCACAUGUGCAAAGACACAGAGGAGCUGGUAAGGGAUUACAGCACCCAGAGACGGCCAAAUGAGGAGGAGACGUGUGGAAAGCUUUACUGUCCUGUUUGUUCUCUGAUCUUCUCUGCACUGUGCAAAAGGGAUAUCUCCCCUCAUCCUCUAAAAAGAGAUAUCUCUGAGGAAGCAAAUGUAGUAAUACAAGCCUAGGAUUUGGCCCUGCAACGUCAACACCGAUGCGCCUCUGACGAUGUUUAGACCCUGGUGAACCAGACCCUGGUGAACCAACAGCCAGACCCUGGGGAACCAGACCCUGGUGAACCAACAGCCAGACCCUGGUGAACAGACCCUGGUUAACCAGACCCUGGUUAACCAGACCCUGUGAACAGACCCUGGUGAACCAACAGCCAGACCCUGGAACAGAAACCAGACCCUGGUGAUCGGACCCUGGUGAACAGACCCUGGUGAACAGACCCUGGUGAACCAGACCCUGGUGAACCAGACCCUGGUGAACAGACCCUGGUGAACCAACAGCCAGACCCUUGUGAACCAGACCCUGGUGAACGGACCCUGGUGAACCAACAGCCAGACCCUGGUGAACGGACCCUGGUGAACCAACAGCCAGACCCUGGUGAACAGACCCUGGUGAACAGACCCUGGUGAAACAGCAGCCAGAGCCUGGUGUUCAUCCUUCCACUCAGUGGCCUCUACUGGCCUGUGCGGAGCCAUGAGGUGCAUCCAAAAUGGUUCAUCAUCGUCUGCGUCAGCUUCAUCGUCUGCCCCAUCACUUGUCAAGUGGUCCGUUCUGCGAGACCACACUAAAUACUACGCACUGCAUCUUUAAGCUUAAAUUCCACAAGAAAGGAUAUCACAUCCAAUCCUCUCGAAACUCCUCUCUUCUCCAACAUCUGCGGGUCAAAGUCUCACAGUACGAUGGAUUGUUUUUAAAUUGGCAGAAGCAGUCGUGUACAGUAGCUGGUAUCACUCAGUCCUAAAGGAACCAUUCCCCAGAGGAACAGAGCGGGUGUUCCACACACAGCAGGGCUUUUGCAACUCACAUGGCUGACGAGAUGAACUGAAACGAAACCACGAUAUAGACAUGUAAAGCAUUGUUUGGUACACGAAGAAACACAUGAAGAAGAAUGCAGGAUACAGAAGAAACAAGUCAACAGACGCAUGUUUACGUUUGAAGUGUUGAGUGUGUGUUUUCUUUCGUUCUCGAGCCGUGGUUUAUUCAUUUAAUAGACACAAGUCGCUUAAUUUGAUUAUCGCUCAUCGUUUAUGGGGCCAAUUCGCUGUGAGUGGGGAGACCCACUCACAGCGAGCUCUGAACUAGCUGCAGUUAGAGCAAAAAGGGAAUUUUUAAAGGAAAUUUAUAUCCAUUACAACCUCAGAAGGCUUCGUAGACCCAGACCUUCUAGCAAACGAAACGAGAUAUAAAAUGUAUUGACCAACGGGCUCGUUGGUCAAUACAUUUUUUUCAACAGUUUUCCAUCAGUCUCCGGGUCAUCUCAGGACCAUUUGAUCUUUGCACCCUGAUCUGAUCACAUGUUAACAAACUCAAAGAAAAUAUGACCUGAUCCAAAAAUAAGAAACCAAUGAGGACAAUAAUAAUAAUACUAAAUCUGGCCUUAUCAGUUGUUAUCUUCUCAGGCUUAACACAUUUUCUCUGCUUGCCAAACCAUGCAGCUCUAUUUCUACAUUCACAAGCUGUUUGUACAUUCGCAGGCACCGGACAUCUGAACACCUACCUUCAACCCACACACACACACACACACACACACACACACACACACACACACACACACACACACACACACACACACACACACACACACACACAUUCACAUGCACAGACACACUCACCCUGCAAAACUUGGCUAUCGCUAAUAGCCUCGGCAAACAUAGAGGUGUGUGUGUGUGCAUGUGUGUGCACGUCUGUCUGUCUGGAAAGAGGAUAUUAUGGUCUGUCUCUCCCCCGCUCCUUCCAAGUGCACUUUUCAAGGUGCAGGGCUUGGUAUCACCAUGGCAACAGCGAAGCAACUGAGAACACAGUGGUGGGUGAUGGGUGUGUGUGUGUGUGUGUGUGUGUGUGUGCGAGG
ensembl:lncRNA